UACGAAGGGUGCAAGCGUUACUCGGAAUUACUUGGCGUAAAGGGCUCGUAGGCGGCCAACUAAGUCAGACGUGAAAUCCCUCGGCUUAACCGGGGAACUGCAUCUGAUACUGGAUGGCUUGAGAUUGGGAGAGGGAUGCGGAAUUCCAGGUGUAGCGGUGAAAUGCGUAGAUAUCUGGAGGAACACCGGUGGCGAAGGCGGCAUCCUGGACCAACACUGACGCUGAGGAGCGAAAGCCAGGGGAGCAAACGGG
rnacentral:rRNA from 1 species